rnacentral:piRNA from 1 species
CUGGAAUGAGACGCCAAAGCUGAGUAGC